GCGCGGCCCCAAAUUCCGGGAGUCAGGUGACCUGGCCCCGGAGCUGCUCCCUGGACCUGCGGGAGGUGCUCUGCGACCGCCCACGCCCCGGCCCGCGGCGCGUCCCGGACGUCCACGCUUGCGUUUCUGCGGAUCGUGGGAAUCCUUCUGCGUGGGAGUUUUAGAAAUGCUAACCGAGCUCAGGUUUUGAACAUGUCUGGGACUGUGAAUUGGCUGCCAGAAUGAAGCAAAAGCAGCCAGGCUGAGAGAACCAUGGAGCUCUGAAGCCAGUCCCAAGAAGAAGCAGAAGACAUAAUACAAGCAGAAGACAGGGAGAGAAUAUUCUACGCGUAUAUACACAGGCUCAAAACAGUUUAGGCUAAUCCCUACGGGUAUGCUGCUGCCAAGUUGGUUCUUUUACUGUGCUCAUCAGAAGUGCCAGAAAAAUACCCGCACCCGCCCCCCAUUUAGCCUCUGGAAGAAGAUGUUCUAAAGGGCUCACAAACAUCCAGAUGUAGCUCUUACCAAGCUCCAGCGUCAGAAGGAGUGCCUCAGCGUCUAAGUCCGUAUAUACACACACGGCUUUUCAUGCAUCCUCUGCUGGGGAGGUCACAAUCUGAGGCACCCUUUAAAGCCACUUCUGGGAGAAAAGAAAGAGAAAAAAAAAAAUCAACCACUGAACGUCUAGUGAGCUGUUUCCUAAGGAGGCAUCAACAAACUCCUACCAGCCCCAGUCCUCAGUAACGUCAUGAGAUGGGCUGCUUGUGGUUGUCAAAACUGAUCUUCCCACUGCGGGUGAACACGUACGGCGGAUUGUUAUGGCUUAGGGCGCUUGACUGCACCGCUGUGAAAAUAUUCAGCAGAAUUCCACAAGCUCUUUGUUUGCCUUGCCUUAGUGGAAAUUCCUCCAGCUAUCCAAACACGCACCUGGGGGAGGUGUUUUUUUUUUCCCCCUCCACAUUUCAGGAAGGGGUUUCUUCUAAGUAAAAAUGUGUCCUUACCUCUCUUCUAAGUUCUCAGGCAAGACUUCUGGUUUGAGUUGAAGAUGACUAUGAAUGUGUUCUGGUUGGAAAGGGAGGUGGAGUUGGAGGAGCCGGAGAGGUCUGUAGCAAAUGUUCCUCCAACAGAGCUAAGCUGGGAAAAGGAAAGCCAAUGGAAGCCAACAAAGAAGGAAGCACGAAGCAAGGCUCCCCCAGAUUCCUAGAAGCCCAGGAACACAAAAGCCAGGAAGAUGAAUCGUCUUUUACAGUAGUAGACCUGUAUAUAGGAACGGGGAAGAUUCUAGGGUGAAAGAUCCGGGCUGCCGCUGGUCACCCAGAAGGGAGUAUGUACCUUGAGUUUCGUAACACGGAAUGGAAGUUUGGAGGCCCCUUGAAAAGAACCAAAGCACAAAGGAAGUUGGGCCUGAAGAAGGCUGGGAGACCUCUCACGCAGAGACCCAGGGCUCAGGACAGAGAAAGGAAGGUAGAACGCCAAGUGGAUCUCAUAUUUGCUCUGCGGGCUUCUGGGAAGUGUUUGAAAACAUUCUAUUUAAACUGUGCCUCUUAAGAGAGCUCUCCACUUACAUCUAACUCAGUGUGCUCAUAUUAGCAAAUAGAAAUUAUGGGAACAUUCCAAGUGCUCCCCGCCUUCCUGGUCCUCCCUCCCUGACCCCGAUAGUCUGUCCUGCCUGGAGUCUGGGCGAAUGUUUGUUUCUGAGGGAUGGAAACUGAUUAAAAACUAGAAGGCUGCUUGGGAAAAAUUUUAUAAUAGCAUGUGUGAGGUGAGUUCCACAGAAGGCUAGGGAGGGCAGGAAGGCCCCGUGCAGCCAGGGCUCCAUGCAGGCCAUCUGAAAAAAGAGGCUCCUCUUCCAACCCAGAGCUGUUGUCUUAAUUGUGGUGGAACUGCUUUUCAUAUUCCCUUAGCUUUUUAACACUAAACCAAGAUGAGAAAUUGAGAAAUGAA
rnacentral:lncRNA from 1 species